UACGUAGGGUGCAAGCGUUGUCCGGAAUUAUUGGGCGUAAAGAGCUCGUAGGCGGUUUGUCGCGUCUGCUGUGAAAUCCCGAGGCUCAACCUCGGGCCUGCAGUGGGUACGGGCAGACUAGAGUGCGGUAGGGGAGAUUGGAACUCCUGGUGUAGCGGUGAAAUGCGCAGAUAUCAGGAGAAACACCGAUGGCGAAGGCAGGUCUCUGGGCAUUAACUGACGCUGGAGGAGCGAAAAGCAUGGGGAGCGAACAGG
rnacentral:rRNA from 1 species